UGGUGAUCAUAGGUGAGGGGAAACACUCGUUCCCAUCCCGAACACGUUCGUUAAGCCCUCAACCGCCGAUGGUAGUGCGGCCAUUGUUGCCGUGUGAGAGUAGGUCGUCGCCA
rnacentral:rRNA from 1 species